GGCCGGCGCCUCUCUUCUCUCCAUGGCCGUGCCGACCGGGGUCUAGCUCGUCCUUUUCUCCCCCAGGAUCAAUAGAAAUAUGCAAAUUAAAUUUCUGCCGUUGGAUUAGAGGUGCACGCACUGGAUGAAAGACAAUUUGACCAGCACAUCCUGCAAGAGACGCCUGCCUCACUCUUCCGCAUUUGAAGAAAAUUCCUCUUCACGCUUUAGUUUUCCCCAGGACGCCUCAUCUAUUCUCUUUCUUUCUUUUUUUUUUCCAGAAUGCAACCCAGCGGGUGCAUUAUCGACUAUAGGAGAAAAGGUCAGACGACCAUACAACACCGACCAAGCGGCAACACACCGUCCAAACGGUUACAACGCCACCAAGUGGCUAAGGUCUCAAACACCUAUGUUGGCGGCGUCCACCGACUACCUCUUAGAACAGGAAAGGAAACCCUAUCCCUAAAGAGCCCAGCCAACUCCCAACGCGCCGCCUCCUCCACGAUCCCGUGCAGCACCUGAUGAACCGAAGGAGUCGCCCCAUUGAAGACAACGUCGUUCCUAUGAUGCCAGAUGGCCCAAGAGACCAAUCCGAAUGCCGUCCAGACGUCCUUUCUGUCUCCAGCGGGCACCGACAGUGAAGUCCACCAGACUUUGAUAUCGACCUCCCCGGUCGGCAGCCAUUCAGGAUGGCCCCAAGCCAUGAGCAAAGGAGACCAAACCUGACGAGAGAACACACAACCCAGCAACAGGUGAG
rnacentral:lncRNA from 1 species